rnacentral:rRNA from 1 species
UGCGUAGGCGGUUUGGCAAGUCUUAUGUGAAAUCUAUGGGCUCAACCCAUAGUCUGCAUAAGAAACUGCCGGGCUUGAGUAUGGGAGAGGUGAGUGGAAUUUCCGGUGUAGCGGUGAAAUGCGUAGAUAUCGGAAGGAACACCUGUGGCGAAAGCGGCUCACUGGACCAUAACUGACGCUGAUGCAUGAAAGCUAGGGGAGCAAACA